rnacentral:rRNA from 1 species
GACGAACGCUGGCGGCGUGCUUAACACAUGCAAGUCGAACGGAAAGGCCCUGCUUUUGUGGGAUGCUCGAGUGGCGAACGGGUGAGUAACACGUGAGUAACCUGCCCUUGACUUUGGGAUAACUUCAGGAAACUGGGGCUAAUACCGGAUAGGAGCUCCUGCUGCAUGGUGGGGGUUGGAAAGUUUCGGCGGUUGGGGAUGGACUCGCGGCUUAUCAGCUUGUUGGUGGGGUAGUGGCUUACCAAGGCUUUGACGGGUAGCCGGCCUGAGAGGGUGACCGGCCACAUUGGGACUGAGAUACGGCCCAGACUCCUACGGGAGGCAGCAGUGGGGAACAUUGCACAAUGGGCGGAAGCCUGAUGCAGCAACGCCGCGUGCGGGAUGACGGCCUUCGGGUUGUAAACCGCUUUCGCCUGUGACGAAGCGUGAGUGACGGUAAUGGGUAAAGAAGCACCGGCUAACUACGUG